rnacentral:lncRNA from 1 species
CUGGUAACCGGUUUGCGACUAGAAAGAUCAACUCUACAGAAGAAGAAAAAUGUGUUAAAGAUUGAGACAAUUUUUAGACAGAUCAAGAAGUUCAUAAAGCAAGCCGAGAUCAGAUCCGGAUAAUUGUAACCUAAAUUUCGCAGUGAAAAGGUAUGUAAAAAUCUAUAUGAAUUUUCAUACUGAAUUAAUUGAUAAUUCCCAACAUUGGUAUCAAAGCUAUUAUGAUCU